rnacentral:rRNA from 1 species
AUUGAACGCUGGCGGAAUGCUUUACACAUGCAAGUCGAACGGCAGCACGGACUUCGGUCUGGUGGCGAGUGGCGAACGGGUGAGUAAUGUAUCGGAACGUGCCCAGUCGUGGGGGAUAACGUAGUGAAAAUUACGCUAAUACCGCAUACGAUCUAUGGAUGAAAGCGGGGGAUCGCAAGACCUCGCGCGAUUGGAGCGGCCGAUAUCAGAUUAGGUAGUUGGUGGGGUAAAGGCCCACCAAGCCAACGAUCUGUAGCUGGUCUGAGAGGACGACCAGCCACACUGGGACUGAGACACGGUCCAGACUCCUACGGGAGGCAGCAGUGGGGAAUUUUGGACAAUGGGCGAAAGCCUGAUCCAGCCAUUCCGCGUGCAGGAUGAAGGCCCUCGGGUUGUAAACUGCUUUUGUACAGAACGAAAAGGUUUCUACUAAUACUAGGAGCUCAUGACGGUACUGUAAGAACAAGCACCGGCUAACUACGUGCCAGCAGCCGCGGUAA